GCGGGGCUGUGGCCCAGCGCUGUGUGGAAGACUAGUGAUUUUGUUGUUCUGAUGUUGGAUGACAACAAGUCACAGCCGGCCACACAGCGCGGGCUCC
ensembl:miRNA microRNA 7-3